rnacentral:rRNA from 1 species
UCGAGAAUUUUUCUCAAUGGGGGAAACCCUGAAGGAGCGACGCCGCGUGGGGGAUGAAGGGCUUCGGCUCGUAAACCCCUGUCAUUUGUGAGCAAGUGUUAUUGUUUAAGAGAUGUUGACAUUGAUAGUAGCAAAAGAGGAAGGGACGGCUAACUCUGUGCCAGCAGCCGCGGUAAUACAGAGGUCCCAAGCGUUGUUCGGAAUCACUGGGCGUAAAGGGUGCGUAGGCGGUAUAGUAAGACUUGGGUGAAAUCUCCAUGCUUAACGUGGAGGGAGCCUGGGAGACUGCUGUGCUAGAGGAUUGGAAGGGAGACUGGAAUUCUUGGAGUAGCAGUGAAAUGCGUAGAUAUCAAGAGGAACACCAGUGGCGAAGGCGAGUCUCUGGACAAGACCUGACGCUGAGGCACGAAGGCCAGGGGAUCAAACGG